rnacentral:lncRNA from 1 species
AUGCUUUUUCUGCAUCCAUUGAGAUGAACAUGUGAGUUUUGUCUUUUCUUUUGUUGAUGUGUAUAUUAUGUCGAUUUGCGUAUGUUGAAUCAUUCUUGAAACCCUGGGAAGAAUCCAACUUGGUCAUGGUGUAUGACAUUUUUUAUAUGUUGUUGGAUUUGCUUUGCUAAUAUUUUGAGAAUUUUUGUGUCAUCAAAGAGAUUGGCCUGUAAUUUUCUUUUUUGGUAGUGGCUUUGUCUGGUUUUGAUAUCAGGGUGAUGGUGAAUUCAUAAAAUGUCUUUGGGAAUGUUUCUUCCUCUUCAAUCUUUUGGAAGAGUUAUAGAAGGAUUGGUAUGUUCUUCUUUGUAUGUUUGUUAGAUUUUGCCUGUGAAGCCAUCCAGUCCUGGACUUUUGUGGGGAAUAUUGUUAUUAUUACAGAUUCUAUUUCAUUUCUAGUGAUUUGUCUGUUCAAAUUAUCUAUUUCUUCUUGAUUCAGUUUUGGUGGCCUGUAUGUUUCUAGAGAGUUGUCCAUUUCUUCUAGGUUGUCAAAUUUGUUGGCAUACAAUUGCCCAUGGUAUUUUCUUAUGGCUUUUUUUUUUUUUCUUUUUUUUUGGAUUUCUGUGGUAUCUGUUGUGAUUUCUCCUCUUUCAUUUCUUACUUUGCUUAUUUGGGUUUUCUCUCUUUUCCUCUUGAUGAGCCUGGCCAGAGGUUUCUCAGUUUUGUUUACCCUUUCAAAGAACCAGCUCUUGGUUUUAUUGAUUUUUUUUCUAUUUUUUAAAUUCCUAUUUUAUUUACUUCUUCUCUGAUCUUUAUUAUCUCCUUCCUUCCGCUGAUUCAGGUUUUGUCCUUCUUUUUCUAAUUCUUUUAGGUAGUGGAUUAGGUUGUUUGAGAUUUUUUUUUUUUAAAGAAGGCCUGUGUCAUUAUGAACUUCACUCUAAGACCAGCUUUUGUUGCAUCCCAUAGAUUUUUGUAUUGUGUUUUCAUUGUCAUUUGCCUCAUGGUAUUUUUUUAAAUUUCUUCCUCGAUUUCAUUGUUGAUCUAUUGGUUUUUUGGUAGCAUGUUGUUUAGUCUCCAUGUAAUUGUUUUUUUCUCAUUUCUUUUUCUGUGAUUGCUACCUAGUUUCAUGCCAUUGUGAUUUUAAAAAAAAGAUGCUUGAAAUAAUUUCUAUAUUCUCAAUUUGAGGCUUGUUUUGUAUUUUAGUAUGUGGUCAACCCUUGAGAAUGUUCCAUGUGCACUUGAAAAGAAUGUGUAUUCUGCUUUUUGAGGAUGUAAUACCCUGAAGAUAUCAGUUAAGUCUAACUGUCCUGUUGUAUCAUUUAGGAUUUCUGGUGCCUUAUAGAUUUUCUGUCUUGAAGAUCUAUCUGUCCCUUGAUGUGAAUGGGCUAUUAUAAGUCUCCUAUUAUUCUUGUAUUCCUGUCAAUUUCUCCUUUUAUGUCUGUUAGUAUUUGUUUUAUAUAUUUGGGUGCUCCUAUAUUGGGUACAUAUACGUUGACCAGUGUAAUAUCCUCUCCUUGUAUUGAUCCUUUUACCAUUAUAUAGUGUCCUUUAUCUUUACAGCCUUUGUUUUAAAGUCUAUUUUGUCUGAUAUGAGUAUUGCGACCCUCACUUUCUUGUCAUUUCUGUUUGCAUGAACUAUCUUUUUCCAUUGCCUCACUUUCAAUUUAUGUGUGUCCUUUGCCUUUAAAAUGGAUCUCUUAUAGGCAGCAUAUUGUAAGCUCUUGUUUUUCAAUCCAUUUUGCCACUCUAUGUCUUUUGAUUGGAGCUUUUGGUUCAUUGACAUUUAAGGUAAUUAAUGAUAUGUAUUUAUUGCCAUUUUAAACCUUGUUUUCUGAUUUUUAAAAAUAUUUCUUCUUUGCCCUUUUUUGUUUUUGUUUUUCCUUUUGUGGUUUGACUUUUUUUUGUAUUACACUUAUUGUGUUUUAAUUUUUUUUUUGUGAAUCUAUUGAAUGUUGAUUUGUGGUUGCCAUUUUUCAAGUAUGUUAACCCCUUCCUAUAUCUACUUGCUUUGUGGGCCCAGCACACUCCUGCUGUGUGACUCUGCUUGCUAUCUACUUGCUUUAGACUGACAGUCAUAUAGGUUCAAACACAUUACAGAAAAAAAAAAUCUACAUUUUUUUUAUUCUCCUCCCCAGGUUUUAUGAGCUUGCUGCCCUCUUUUGCAUCUUCAUGUUCAUCCUUUUUCUGUUCAUGGUGGUUAAGAUCACUUUCACAGAAAUUUUCUGAUUUUUUUUUUUUAAUCCGUGUACUGGCUUUUUAAAGUGAUUUUACUUUCCAGUUGUGAUUUUCUUUCUUAUAGAUUCUUUGUUUCUAUUUAGAGAAGACUUUUCAAUAUUUCCUUUUAGGAUAGGUUUAAUGUUAUUGUAUUCUUUUAGUUUGUGCUUGUCUGAGAAAUUCUUCUUCUUUUUGGUAUUUUUUUUCUUUUUACAGCAGCACCCUAGGCAUAUGGAAGUUUCCAGGCUAGGGGUCAAAUCAGAGCUGCAGCUGCCAUCCUAUGCCACAGCCACAGCAAUGUGGGAUCCAAGCUGCAUCUGUGACCUACACCACAGCUCAUGUCAACACCAUAUCUAUAACCCAAUGAGUGGGGCCAGGGAUUGAAUCUGUGUCCUCAUGGAUACCAGUUGGGUUCAUUACCUUUGAGCCAUGAUAGGAACUCCCUAAGAAAUUCUUCUUUUCUCCUAUUCUAAAGGAUGGUCUGUUGAGUAGAUUGCAGAUUGUAGGAUUGCUGGAUUGCAGUAUCCUAGGUUUGGAAAGUUUUCAGCCAUUAUUUCUUCAAAUAUAUUUUCAAUCCCCUUUUCUCCUUUCUCUCCUCCUGGGAUCCCUAUUAUGAAUAGGUUGGCACACUUUAUAUUUUCCCAGAGUUCUCUUAUAUUGCUUUUAUUUUUUUCAUUUGGGUUUUGUCUGCUGUUCUAAUUGGGUGACUUCUAUUGCUCUGUCUUCCAGAUUAUUUAUUAGUUCUUCGGCGUUAUUCAUUCUGCCUUUAGUUCAGCUUUUGUCUUUUCAAAUGAAUUUUCUAAUUUUUCUUGCCUCCUUCUUCUAGUUUCUAGUUCUUUUUACAGUAAUCUGCAUCUCUAUUGAUAGCCUUUCUUAAAUCCUUCAGUACUUACCUGCUUUUUGAACUCGGUGUCCAGUAGACUGAAGAGGUCUCUUUCAUUGUUGUUCUUUCAGGGGAAUUCUGUCCAUCCUUUAACUGGAAGUGAUUCCUCUGCUGCUUCAUUUUACUUAUCACUCUUGCUCUAUAAUUAUAGGAGAAACAAUUAUCAACUGUGGUCUUGGAGGGCUAUUUUUAUAUGGGAACAUCCCGGUGUAGCCUGUGUGGGUUUAAUAUUUUUUGGUGUGAGGGCUAUUUUUAGUAUGGAUGUUUGCCACCUCUUUUCUCAGUGUAUGUUGGCCAUUAUCUCCUUGAUAGGAGGUAUAACUCCUGUUGUGGUGAUCAGAGCCUGCCCUGGAUAUUGAGCAGGGCCUCCUCUUUGCUCUGCGGUUGUCAUAGCCCUGCUGGGGUAGGGUCUGCUUCCUAAUUGUUGGAGUAGAAGACCCUAGAUCUAUUUUUGAGCUAUGCUUCUGAGUUGUGGUGCAAGGUAGGUGGGAUUGGAGCACUCCCUCUGAGAGACAUACCAUGGAGUACUCCUCCACUGGAGGUUUUCACCCGUGAAUGUGCUCUGUCACCUUUUACUCUUUAUGGGGGUUCACAAAGUACACUAUUGUUGGCACUUCCCUCAGCCCCACCUUGACGGAGGAUAUGCCAGCAAUUUGCCCUGGUAUCUCUCAGGUGUUGUUUUCACAGGGCUACCAAUGCAGCCAAUACCAGUCCUCUCCCUGGGGUCUGUCCUCUAACCCCCACGUUCUAGCACCCAACCUGGCCAAUACCAGUGCAUGUGCAUCUCAGGCUGGGGUGUACAGGGUGAUGGCACAGACUGUCUGUAAAUGUCCCUCUCUGUUCUGUCUGCCAAAAAUUGGCUGUUGUGUCUCCUCUGGGCCUCUGAAGCUCCCUUUCUCUCCUGGCUGAUUUCCCUGCAGGUGAUGGGCUUCCUAGGGAGCAAGAACUUCGCUCCUUCAGCUCCCUCCCAGUGGUGCAGGUACAGUCCUGCUUCCUCUUUUUUUUCUUUUUCUUUUCUUUUGUCCUACCUGGUUAUGUGAAGAUCUUUCUUGUCCUUUCAGGUGUUUGAGGUCUGCUAGUGUUCAGUAGGUGUUCUGUGAGGAUUGUUCCAUUUGUAGAUGUAUUCUUGAUGCACUUGUGGGAAGAGGUGAGUUCUAUAACCUACUACUCUGCUAUCCAGAUUCUGAGUUCUUUUUUUUAGGGCUACACCUGCAGCAUUUGGAAGUUCCCAGGCUAGGGAACUGGAGUUGCCAAAUUGGAGUUGCAACUGCGAGCCUAUGUCACAAGCCACAGCAACAAGGGAUCCAGAUCUUGACUGUGAACUUCACUGCACCUCACAAAAACACCAGAUCCUUAACCCACUAAGUGAGGCCAGGGGUUGAACCUGAGUCCUCAUGGAUACUAGUCAGGUUCUUAACCUGCUGAGCUACAACAGGAACUCCCUGAGCUCUUAUAUUUUACUCUUAAGGAUGAUGUUGGAGUUCCCACUGUGGUGCAAUGGAUUGGCAGUGUCUCUACAGCACCAGGAUACAGGUUUGAUCCCCAGCCCAGCACAGUGGGUUAAAAGAUUGCAGCUGCAGCAUAGGUUGCAACCAUGGCUCAUAUCUGAGCGCUGGCCUGGGAACUUCAUAUGCCAUAGGGUG